GGCGAUAAAUGAACUAUUAAAGGGAUUGAAAAUCCCUGUGUCGGUGGUUCGAUUCCACCUCUGGCCACCA
rnacentral:tRNA from 1 species